rnacentral:rRNA from 1 species
GGAGGUAGUGACAAUAAAUCUCAAUACGAAGCCUUUGGUUUUGUAAUUGAAUUGAGAACAAUGUACAAUCGUUAUCGAUAAACAAUUGGAGGGCAAGUCUGGUGCCAGCAGCCGCGGUAAUUCCAGCUCCAAUAGCGUAUAUUAACGUUGUUGCAGUUAAAAAGCUCGUAGUUGAAGUUUAGAUGGUUUGAAGGGGGUGUUAGUAUUCGUACUAUCUGCUCUCUUUGGAUUAUCGACUUCCAGGUAAGCUCAAUAAUCCCUCCGGGGACUAUUAAGCCAGACUGGUCUUUUACUGUGAGAAAAUUAGAGUGUUUAAAGCAGACUUUAUUUAGUUUGAAUAGAUUAGCAUGGAAUAAUAAGAUUGGCUUUCAUAGUCGAUUUUUUGGUUUGUUUAUGAAAGCAAGAUUAAUAGGGACAGUUGGGGGUAUUCAUAUUCAAUAGCUAGAGGUGAAAUUCUAUGAUUUAUGGAAGAUGAACAAGUGCGAAAGCA